rnacentral:rRNA from 1 species
AUUGAACGCUGGCGGAAUGCUUUACACAUGCAAGUCGAACGGCAGCACGGACUUCGGUCUGGUGGCGAGUGGCGAACGGGUGAGUAAUACAUCGGAACGUGCCCAAUCGUGGGGGAUAACGUAGCGAAAGCUACGCUAAUACCGCAUACGAUCUAAGGAUGAAAGCGGGGGAUCGCAAGACCUCGCGCGAAUGGAGCGGCCGAUGGCAGAUUAGGUAGUUGGUAUGGUAAAGGACUACCAAGCCGACGAUCUGUAGCUGGUCUGAGAGGAUGAUCAGCCACACUGGGACUGAGACACGGCCCAGACUCCUACGGGAGGCAGCAGUGGGGAAUUUUGGACAAUGGACGCAAGUCUGAUCCAGCCAUUCCGCGCGCAGGAUGAAGGCCCUCGGGUUGUAAACUGCUUUUGUACAGAACGAAAAGGCUCUGGUUAAUACCUGGGGCUCAUGACGGUACUGUAAGAAUAAGCACCGGCUAACUACGUGCCAGCCGCCGCGGUAA